UGCCCCGGACCGAGGCGGAGCGGAGGCGGACGCGCGGGGGGGCGGGCGGCCAGGCAGGCAGUGAGCGCGCUCUGCUCCGGCCCGCGCGGCUCCCGCGCCCCACGCGCUGCGCCAGCCUCGCCAGCUGCGGGGCGGCUUUCAUUCUGGGAGUGGGCGGGCGAGGCGCCGCCUCGGGCCGCUGCGCUAAUUGGCUGCCGAACUGAGCCCCCUGCGCCACGGGCGCCGCUCCGGACGCUGAUUGGUGAAUCGGGCAUCGGCAAGAAAAGACGUGGGGAGGCAAGACUUGGCGGGACCUAAAGAUGCAGUUUUUAAGUCAGAGCAGCCCAGCAAUCAAGUAACUUCCGUUUGCACAGCGUUUUGGAGAGCUUACAACUGGGUGAAAUCCUCAAACAAACCUCAGAGAGGUUCAGAGAGGUUUUGGUUCUUGCCUAAUGAAGAAAAUGAGACCCAGAGAAGAGAAGGGCUCCUUUAAGGUCACACGGUGAAUUUGUCACAGCCAGAACUAGGACUCAGGCCUCUUCAUGACUGGCAUGGUGGCCUUCCCACUAUAUCAUGGAACCUGAAGAAGUCUGGAAUGAAACAGGAAGAGUCAGAGUGUGACAGUGUCUUCGAGGGAUACCUUCAGAUUGAUGGAAGCAGGAAGACAGAUCAGGAUGGGCCUCAUCUCAGAGGUUAGACAGCGUUGCUCAGUUUCUUCUGGA